rnacentral:rRNA from 1 species
ACAAUCCUAGAGAUAGGACGUCCCCUUCGGGGGCAGAGUGACAGGUGGUGCAUGGUUGUCGUCAGCUCGUGUCGUGAGAUGUUGGGUUAAGUCCCGCAACGAGCGCAACCCUUGAUUUUAGUUGCCAGCAUUCAGUUGGGCACUUUAAGGUGACUGCCGGUGACAAACCGGAGGAAGGUGGGGAGGACGUCAAAUCAUCAUGCCCCUUAUGACCUGGGCUACACACGUGCUACAAUGGACAGAACAAAGGGCAGGGAAACCGCGAGGUUAAGCCAAUCCCACAAAUCUGUUCUCAGUUCGGAUCGCAGUCUGCAACUCGACUGCGUGAAGCUGGAAUCGCUAGUAAUCGCGGAUCAGCAUGCCGCGGUGAAUACGUUCCCGGGCCUUGUACACACCGCCC